GAAAGCAGCAUGGCUAUCUUGAGGCCUGAUCUCUUCAGACCUCGGGAGUUCGGCAAGACUCUGCCUGGUCAGUACUGGGAUGGGAGACCUCUCAGAAAAACCAGGUUGUUGUUGUAA
rnacentral:rRNA from 1 species